UGAGGAAUAUUGGACAAUGGGCGCAAGCCUGAUCCAGCCAUGCCGCGUGCAGGAAGAAGCAUCUAUGGUGUGUAAACUGCUUUUGUACGGGAAGAAACACUCCUUCGUGAAGGAGCUUGACGGUACCGUAAGAAUAAGGAUCGGCUAACUCCGUGCCAGCAGCCGCGGUAAUACGGAGGAUCCAAGCGUUAUCCGGAAUCAUUGGGUUUAAAGGGUCCGUAUGCGGUUCAGUAAGUCAGUGGUGAAAGCCCAUCGCUCAACGAUGGAACGGCCAUUGAUACUGCUAGACUUGAAUUAUUAGGAGGUAACUAGAAUAUGUAGUGUAGCGGUGAAAUGCUUAGAUAUAACAUGGAAUACCAAUUGCGAAGGCAGGUUACUACAAAUGGAUUGACGCUGAUGGACGAAAGCGUGGGGGGCGAACA
rnacentral:rRNA from 1 species